UGGUGCCUAUUCUGAUUUUUUUGAUUUCUGGGUUUUAUUCUUUGAUAGAACUCCAAGGUGGGUCUUGCAAAUUCAUGGCGGUUUCUAGCUAAAGUCCCAUUUCUUUUCUGAGAAGACUGAUGUUGAGGAAGAGAUCAAGAGCAACAAGUAAGCAAGCUCUAAUGGCGGAUCAUGGUUAUUCACCAUCACCGAUGGAGCCUUUUCUUUUGUUUCUUGAAUUUUUUUCCUUAGGCAUUGGAAAGGUAGGCCUCUUCUAGAUUCCUCAUCUCAUGCUCAUGUCACAAAAAAGUUAUCAUAUUCCCUUCAAAUGCUUCUUGACUUGAUGCCUUUUUGUUCUUAAAAACCUCCACUUCUCUGCA